GAUGAAGAACGUAGCGAAAUGCGAUAAGUAGUGUGAAUUGCAGAAUUCCGUGAAUCAUCGAAUCUUUGAACGCACAUUGCGCCUUCUGGUAUUCCGGAAGGCAUGCCUGUUCGAGAGUCAUUAACAACCGUUUCGAUCCCUUUCUUUCAGAAAUUACAAAGAGGAAAAGGGUUUGGUUAUGGUGGAGGAGGGAAAGGGAGCGUUUAGCCUGUAAAAAAAGAGGCUGUGUUCCGACUCCCCCCCAAAAUUGUACAGGCGGUCGUGUGCGCCCACGCAUCGAGGUGAUGUAAAAGCUGCCACGGCACUUUUCACCUGUGCAGUGCGAGAUUGGCCAGCCGAUUUAAAAACCCCUCCAAACAAUCAAAGGUUGACCUCGGAUCAGGUAGGGAUACCCGCUGAACUUAAGCAUAUCAAUAAGCGGAGGA
rnacentral:misc_RNA from 1 species